UCUCUUCUUUUUCCCCUUUUCUUCUCUGAAGCCCUAAUUGCUGAAGAUCAAACCCCCAGCCCACAACGCUAUCUCCUCUCUCAACUCUCUUUCUCAGUUUCUCGUCACUCUCUCCCACGAGCUCAAGCUCUCGUCAGCUUGUCUCAUCUCCAGUCUCUCACUUCUUGUCUCCAGUCUGUCAAGCUCUCGUCAGCUGAAGCUCUCCCUUCCCUGCCCUCUUUUCGCCGGCGGCAGAAGCAGACGGAACCGCAUCUGGUCCCUCGGGUCGUGGUGGUGGUCGUCUUCUUGCUUCUCACAGUCUCUGUCUCGCACCUGGUCUCGAUCUCUCCCUUCCCUGCGCUCUUCGUCGCCGGUAGCAGAGGCAACAGAUCCCGGUGGGCUUGUCUUCGUUGUCGUCUUCUUGCUUCGAGCCUUGCUGUCAGCUUCUCCUCGCCAUCAACUUCUCCUUCGCCGUCGGCUUCCUUCGCGUAACUCGAUUUGGGUGUGUAUUUUUUUACUUAUUUGGAUGUUUGAGAAUUGAGAUUCUGAUUUAGUUGUUUAGAUAUUGAAUUAGCUAUAGUUUAUUUGACUUAUUUAAUUAUGUUGGUUGAUUUUGACCGUUGUUUACUCUUCCUUUGACUUGUAUUAUAGUAGUUAUUUUUCUUGUGGUUUUGUUUGUAGAUUGUGAUAGAUACAUUAAAGUGUGUUGUAUUAAAUAAAAAUUUAUAUACUAAAAUAGAAUUGGAGCAUGAACCUAAUAGUUACAGUGCAUAUAACUUAAUUGUCGAGUUAGAAUUUGGUUAUAUUUUACAAAAAAAAUAAAUUCGAAAUGAUUCUUCUAUAUAUCCACAUGAAUCAUAUCGAUUUUCUUUCCUAGACAAUAUUUAGUUAAGCGGAAAGUUUUCUUUACACUGGAGAAUCGAAUUGCUUUAUUUAUAAAGAUUUCAGAAACUUAAUAUUAGAAUUAUUUUUUAGAUGAAAAUCAAUUGGGAUCUUAUAUAUUAAGAUGUAUGGUCGCUGUCCAGGAUAUACUAUUUAAAGGUGUAUAUUAAAAAAUUUAGGUGGGAAAAUUUUGUUUUAUGUAAUGAUUAUUUAUUGGGUGUUUUUGGAAAGUUAAUAAAUGCUACAAGAGGAAUGAGAGAGAAAAUGAUGUGUGAUUUUGUGUUGGGCUGUUGAAACCAUUGAAAAUUUUAUUAAUCCACAUCUUUAAAUGUUGGCAUCUUUCCCUGCUUUCAUUGGAAUCGUUCUUGAAAAUUUGUUUGGUAUGGUUAACAUUUAUUUAUUUUUAUGUUAUACUUGUUUUUACAGAAAUAUACCGUGGUACCAUUCAUGUUUUUUAUCAUACCGAUAAUUUUCAAUUUUUUAUACCUAUUUUUAUUUACUUUGAGAGUUUAGUAUCAUUCGUUAGAGAGGAUAAAAAAAGGCGAUUGAAACUAAUUUUUUCUCCUGAUUAAUUUAGACAAUUAAAGUUAAAAGAACCAUGCUUAAUGCAAUCUUAACAUAUAAUCGUGAUGAUAACACAUUUAAAAUAUGACAAUAAAAAUCUUAUUAAAUUUUUGGUAUUUGCACGGAAUUGUUGGCGUUAUAUACUUGAAAUAUUGUUAUUUUUCUCUUAAAUUUGUUAUGUUUUAUAUAAAAUCUAACAAUUAUUUUGUUAUUUUUGAUAGCAUAGGAGUAAAAAUGUGACUAAUAUAUUGGAUAGUUUUUGUCCAAAUUUUAUGUAUAUUGUACAUGAAGUUUUAUUUUGAAAAUUGUAUUUUUGUCUAUUUCAAGCAUAUUUUAUUAGAAAUUAAAAAAUUUGUGAUAUUACAAUAUUAAUUGUACGAUUUUUAAUAAUUUUAGUUUAUUGAUUUUGUUUUAGACAAUAUUGGUGGCGGAGAUUUUACAUGAGAAAUGUUAUAAGACAAGAAAGAUGCUGUUAUUAGUGAUGUUUUGAAUAUCAAGGUUUAUUCAAAACAUCCCUGAUAUCUACAUGUUUUUGUCUUGUAUCCUUUUUCAUGUGAAUCUUUGUUGCCGAUCUUGUCUAAAAUAAAAUUAAUAAUUCAAAAUUAUUAAAAAUAGUACCAUUAAUACUGUCAUAUCACAAAAUUUUCAAUUCUUAAUAAAAUAUAUCUGGGAUGGAUAAAAAUACAGUUUUUAAAUAAGGCUUCAUGCACAGUAUACAUGAAAUUUGGACAAAGGUUUUACAUAAAAUAUGACAAAUAUAGGAGAAAAAUAAUUGUUACCAGUUCAUAUAUAUUACAUAAGAUUUUUGUUAUUAUAUUUUAUAUGUAUCCAUGUUAUCAUCAUUAUCUCAUCAAGUAUGUCCAAAUUAAUUUGGAGGGAAGAUUAACUUUAAUCAUUUUUUUUAUUCUCUAAAAAAUGGUGCAGAACUUUCUAAAACAGCAAAAGUAGGUGCAAAAGAUUGAAAAUUUUUCAUAUAUAGAUGAUACCAUGUAUUCUUGUAAUAAACAACAGUUAUAAAAUAAAAAUAAAUAAAGAUUGAACAUACCAAAAGCUUUGCUUUCUAGUGAAAGAUGUCAAAGGAAAUGGAUUCAUUAGUUUUCAAUGGCUUUAGCAGUCAACACAAAAUCACAUAUAAUAUACACAAAAUCACAUAUAAUAUUUUUUCCUCAUUUCUCUGUAGUAUCUCCAACAUUCGGUGAUUUCUCAAAAUCACCCAAUAAAUGAUUGCAACUAUUACAUAAAACAAAAUUUUUCUACCUUAAUUUUUCUACAUACAUUUUUAAAUCAUAUAUGUCCUUGGCAAUAAUCAUAUAGUCUAAUAUAUACUAUUCUAAUUGCUUUUCAUAUAAACAAAUAAAUUCUAAUCUUGAGUAUUUAAAAUUUUUAUAAAUAAAACAACUCAAUUUUCUAGUGUAAAGAAAAUCUUUCCUUUUAACUAAAUAAUUAAUUUUUGAAAAAAAAAAUCAAUAUGAUUCAACCUCAUGUGGAUAUAUAAGAGAAUCAUUUUGAAUUUCUUUUGGUUUUAACAUACGGGCAUGACCAAAUUCUAACUUGACAAUUAAGUUAUAUACACUGUAACUAUCAUUUUCAUCUUGUAAUUUUACUUCAAUGUAUAAUUUUUUCUUGAUACAACAUGCUUUAAUGUAUCUAUCACAAUCUACAAAUAAAAUCACAAAAAAAUUAACUAUCAUAAUAUAAGUCGAAAUAAAAGUAAAAAUCUGUCAAACAAACUAUAACUAAUUCAAUGUCCAAACAAUUAAAUUAAAAUUUCAAAUAUCCAAAUGAGUGUCAAAAAUACAAAUCCAAAUGCUGCAGCAGUCUCAAGUUUCAUCGAUGUAGACUUAUUAUCGAAACCAGCAAGAGUUUCCACAUGCACCGCAGCAUCAGUCAGCCGAAUUUACUCAACAUCGCGAUGCUCAAGCACAGCAGCAGUCAGAUGCUGGAAUGUCAUUACACGAGUAUUUCAAAUCGCCGGAAGCAAUUCAGUCUUUGUUGAGUGACCGCGACAAACUUUGCCAACUUUUGGAGUAGUAUCCGAAGUUAAUGCAGAUGCUACAGUUAAAGAAGCAUGAUUUCUUGCACUAUUCUUAUCUGUAAAUGUUUUUCAUUGUUGAUUACUAAUGAGCUUGUGCUGAUGUUUGUGCCUCGGCCAUUGAACGUGCUUUUAAUUUCUGAGUCAAUGCCCCAAUGGUGCUUAUGUUGAUUUCUAGCGCAAUCAUGGUGAUGUUGUAUUUCUAUUGUACAGUUGCAUUAUUAGUUCUUGAUAACAUUGCCUUACAAUGUGUAAAGUUAUUUGCUUCUCCUUUUAUUAAAUUAUAUUCCGAGUCAAGUGCUAAUUUUAUUGGGAAAAUUCGUUAGUUAGA